GCAGUCGAGCGAACUGAUUAGAAGCUUGCUUCUAUGACGUUAGCGGCGGACGGGUGAGUAACACGUGGGCAACCUGCCUGUAAGACUGGGAUAACUUCGGGAAACCGAAGCUAAUACCGGAUAGGAUCUUCUCCUUCAUGGGAGAUGAUUGAAAGAUGGUUUCGGCUAUCACUUACAGAUGGGCCCGCGGUGCAUUAGCUAGUUGGUGAGGUAACGGCUCACCAAGGCAACGAUGCAUAGCCGACCUGAGAGGGUGAUCGGCCACACUGGGACUGAGACACGGCCCAGACUCCUACGGGAGGCAGCAGUAGGGAAUCUUCCGCAAUGGACGAAAGUCUGACGGAGCAACGCCGCGUGAGUGAUGAAGGCUUUCGGGUCGUAAAACUCUGUUGUUAGGGAAGAACAAGUACGAGAGUAACUGCUCGUACCUUGACGGUACCUAACCAGAAAGCCACGGCUAACUACGUGCCAGCAGCCGCGGUAAUACGUAGGUGGCAAGCGUUAUCCGGAAUUAUUGGGCGUAAAGCGCGCGCAGGCGGUUUCUUAAGUCUGAUGUGAAAGCCCACGGCUCAACCGUGGAGGGUCAUUGGAAACUGGGGAACUUGAGUGCAGAAGAGAAAAGCGGAAUUCCACGUGUAGCGGUGAAAUGCGUAGAGAUGUGGA
rnacentral:rRNA from 1 species